AUUGAACGCUGGCGGCAUGCCUUACACAUGCAAGUCGAACGGCAGCAUAGGAGCUUGCUCCUGAUGGCGAGUGGCGAACGGGUGAGUAAUAUAUCGGAACGUGCCCUAGAGUGGGGGAUAACUAGUCGAAAGACUAGCUAAUACCGCAUACGAUCUACGGAUGAAAGUGGGGGAUCGCAAGACCCCAUGCUCCUGGAGCGGCCGAUAUCCGAUUAGCUAGUUGGUGGGGUAAAAGCCUACCAAGGCAACGAUCAGUAGCUGGUCUGAGAGGACGACCAGCCACACUGGGACUGAGACACGGCCCAGACUCCUACGGGAGGCAGCAGUGGGGAAUUUUGGACAAUGGGGGCAACCCUGAUCCAGCAAUGCCGCGUGAGUGAAGAAGGCCUUCGGGUUGUAAAGCUCUUUUGUCAGGGAAGAAACGGUAGUAGCGAAUAACUACUACUAAUGACGGUACCUGAAGAAUAAGCACCGGCUAACUACGUGCCAGCCGCCGCAGUAA
rnacentral:rRNA from 1 species